UACGUAGGGUGCGAGCGUUAAUCGGAAUUACUGGGCGUAAAGUGUGCGCAGGUGGCUUCGCAAGUCGGGUGUGAAAUCCCCGGGCUUAACCUGGGAAUUGCGCUCGAAACUACGGAGCUGGAGUAUGGCAGAGGGAGGUGGAAUUCCACGUGUAGCGGUGAAAUGCGUAGAGAUGUGGAGGAACACCAAUGGCGAAGGCAGCUUCCUGGGCCAAUACUGACACUCAUGCACGAAAGCGUGGGGAGCAAACAGG
rnacentral:rRNA from 1 species